CAGGUACCCCGUGUAAGAGACACAGUAGUCUGGAGACGAAUGAUCUGCCCUGUGGGAUGAUCCGCAUAGCGAAGUUAAGGGACCCCAAUAAAGGCCUUUCCGUGUGCAGGUAUCUCUCGAAGGAACAGAUCUAUUUCCUCUUUGAUGCGGACCAAUUAUUCUUGGGGGGAGGCUAGCUUGGAAGGAUACUGUGUCAAGUGAUAUACCUAGGAAAACCAUUUUGGUGGUGGGGCCCAGUGUUUUGUCUGGGGACAUGGGAACCCCUAGGAAUAUGAAGAGGGCUGUGGUGCUGAGCAUGCUCCUAGGUGCGUGGGAACCUGUUUCGAUC